ACAGUGUGUUCUGGGGACAGGCAGCUUGCGGAUUGUGAGUAGAUGUUUGCUGUAUGUGACAAAAAAUGGUGUAGCCCAAAAAACGUGUGACAUCGCGUAGAUCACCUUUCACAGUAGUUUUUAUUUCU